AAGCAUUGAGGCAGUCAAAGUAGGCAAAUCCGCUUUGAUAAUGCUGGGAUGUGAUGGGGAGCGAAAUUUAGUAGCGAAGUAGCUGAUUUCACACUGUCAAGAAAAGUCUCUAUCGAGGUUAAAGGUACCCGUACCGCAAACCGACACAGGUGGGUGAGGAGAGUAUCCUAAGGCCAGCGAGAGAACUGUUGUUAAGGAACUCGGCAAAAUGACCCCGUAACUUAGGGAUAAGGGGUGCCACCAUCAGGUGGCCGCAGAGAAUAGGCCCAAGCGACUGUUUACCAAAAACAUAGGUUUCUGCUAAGUCGCAAGACGAUGUAUAGGAGCUGACGCCUGCCCGGUGCUGGAAGGUUAAGGGGAUCUGUUAGAGCAAUCGAAGCAGUGAACUUAAGCCCCAGUAAACGGCGGCCGUAACUAUAACGGUCCUAAGGUAGCGAAAUUCCUUGUCGGGUAAGUUCCGACCCGCACGAAAGGCGUAACGAUUUGGGCACUGUCUCAACAACAGACUCGGUGAAAUUGUAAUUCCGGUGAAGAUGCCGGAUACCUGCGACAGGACGGAAAGACCCCAUGGAGCUUUACUGUAGCUUGACAUUGGGUCUUGGUACUACAUGUACAGGAUAGGUGGGAGGCUUUGAAACCAGGACGCCAGUUUUGGCGGAGCCAUCCUUGGGAUACCACCCUUGUAGUACUGGGACUCUAACCAUAGGCCAUGAAUCUGGUCUUGGGACACUGUCAGGUGGGCAGUUUGACUGGGGCGGUCGCCUCCCAAAAGGUAACGGAGGCGCUCAAAGGUUCUCUCAGUACGGUCGGAAAUCGUACGUAGAGUGUAAAGGCAAAAGAGAGCUUGAUUGCAAGACAUACAGGUCGAGCAAGGAUGAAAAUCGGACUUAGUGAUCCGGUGGUUCUGCGUGGAAGGGCCAUCGCUCAACGGAUAAAAGCUACCCUGGGGAUAACAGGCUUAUCUCCCCCAAGAGUCCACAUCGACGGGGAGGUUUGGCACCUCGAUGUCGGCUCAUCACAUCCUGGGGCUGUAGUAGGUCCCAAGGGUUGGGCUGUUCGCCCAUUAAAGUGGUACGCGAGCUGGGUUCAGAACGUCGUGAGACAGUUCGGUCCCUAUCCGUCGCAGGCGUAGGAAAUUUGAGAAGACCUGUCCUUAGUACGAGAGGACCGGGAUGGACGUACCUCUGGUGUACCAGUUGUUCUGCCAAGGGCAUGGCUGGGUAGCUAUGUACGGAAUGGAUAAGCGCUGAAAGCAUCUAAGCGCGAAGCCAACUUCAAGAUAAGAUUUCCCACCGCAAGGGUAAGACCCCAGAAAGACUAUCUGGUUGAUAGGUCGAAGGUGUAAGUGCAGCAAUGUAUUUAGCUUAUCGAUACUAAUAGGUCGAGGACUUGACCAA
rnacentral:rRNA from 1 species